UUGGAAAGAGAGUUAAACAGUACGUGAAAUUGUUGAAAGGGAAGCGCUUGCAACCAGACUUGCUCGCGGGUGAUCAGCCUCCCGUGAGGGGGGUGCACUCGCCCGCGAUCAGGCCAGCAUCGGUUUUGGCGGGCGGAUAAAGUCCCCAGGAAUGUAGCUCCCCUCGGGGAGCGUUAUAGCCUGGGGCGGAAUGCGCUCAACCGGGACCGAGGACCGCGCUUCGGCUAGGAUGCUGGCGUAAUGGUUGUAAGCGACCCGUCUUGAAACACGGACCAAGGAGUCUAACAUCUAUGCGAGUGUUUGGGUGUGAAACCCAUGCGCGGAAUGAAAGUGAACGGAGGUGGGAACCCUCUCGGGGGCGCACCAUCGACCGAUCCUGAUGUCUUCGGAUGGAUUUGAGUAGGAGCAUGGCUGUUGGGACCCGAAAGAUGGUGAACUAUGCCUGAAUAGGGUGAAGCCAGAGGAAACUCUGGUGGAGGCUCGCAGCGGUUCUGACGUGCAAAUCGAUCGUCAAAUUUGGGUAUAGGGGCGAAAGACUAAUCGAACCAUCUAGUAAAAGCCACUUCUACUAGAGAUACCGGGAGCCGCCCAGGCUCCAGUAGUCCCCGUGUACGGGGGGCAACACUGUCGGUCUCCGGGGAUGCCUUUCGGGCUACCCGCACUGAGCCCAGGCUCAGUCACAGACUAAUUGACGGUGGCCGCGUCUCCGCGGUU
rnacentral:rRNA from 1 species